rnacentral:rRNA from 1 species
AGUCGAACGGCAGCACGGACUUCGGUCUGGUGGCGAGUGGCGAACGGGUGAGUAAUGUAUCGGAACGUGCCUAGUAGCGGGGGAUAACUACGCGAAAGCGUAAUAAUACCGCAUACGCCCUUCGGGGAAAGCGGGGGACCUUCGGGCCUCGCACUAUUAGAGCGGCCGAUAUCGGAUUAGCUAGUUGGUGGGGUAACGGCUCACCAAGGCGACGAUCCGUAGCUGGUUUGAGGACGACCAGCCACACUGGGACUGGAGACCUGGCCCAGACUCUACGGGAGGCAGCAGUGGGGAAUUUUGGACAAUGGGGGAAACCUGAUCCAGCCAUCCCGCGUGUGCGAUGAAGGCCUUCGGGUUGUAAAGCACUUUUGGCAGAAAAGAAACGGCACGGGAUAAUACCCCGUGCAACUGACAGUACCUGCAGAAUAAGCACCGGCUAACUACGUGCCAGCAGCCGCGGUAAUACGUAGGGUGCAAGCGUUAAUCGGAAUUACUGGGCGUAAAGCGUGCGCAGGCGGUUCGGAAAGAAAGAUGUGAAAUCCCAGAGCUUAACUGGAACUGCAUUUUUAGCUACCAGGCUAGAGUGUAUUGUCAGAGGGAGGUGGAAUUCCGCGAUGUAGCAGUGAAAUGCGUAGAUAUGCGGAGGAACACCGAUGGCGAAGGCAGCCUCCUGGGAUAACACUGACUCAUGCACGAAAGCGUGGGGGAGCAAACAGAGUUAGAUACCCUGGUAGUCCACGCCCUAAACGAUGUCAACUAGCUGUUAGGCCUUCGGGCCUUGGUAGCGCGUGAAGUUGACCGCCUGGGAAAUACGGUCGCAAGAUUAAAACUCAAAGGAAUUGACGGGGACCCGCACAAGCGGUGGAUGAUGUGGAUUAAUUCGAUGCAACGCGAAAAACCUUACCUACCCUUGACAUGUCUGGAAUCCCGAAGAGAUUUGGGAGUGCUCGCAAGAGAACCGGAACACAGGUGCUGCAUGGCUGUCGUCAGCUCGUGUCGUGAGAUGUUGGGUGGAAUCCGCAACAGGCGCAACCCUUGUCAUUAGUUGCUACGAAAGGGCACUCUAAUGAGACUGCCGGUGACAAACCGGAGGAAGGUCGGGACGUCAAGUCUCAUGACCUGUAGGUUAGAACUCACCGUCAUACAAUGUUAAGAACAAGGCAACAAGAAGGCGCCAUUACGAGGAGCCAAUCAGAACCGUCGUGUCAGGACCGCAGUCCAGCUCACGACGUGGAAAGUCAGAUCAUGUAAUCACGGAUCAGCAUUAUCUGGCGUGAUACGUUCAGGUCUGCUACACCGCCGUCUACUUUUAGCGGGAAUUGGGUUUAUGAAGUAGUCCGGCUAACCGUAAGAGGGCGAUUACCACGGUAGGAUUCAUGACUGGGGUGAAGUCGUAACAAGGUAA